AGCGAACGCUGGCGGCAGGCUUAACACAUGCAAGUCGAGCGGGCAUCCUUGUGGUGUCAGCGGCAGACGGGUGAGUAACGCGUGGGAACGUGCCCUUCGGUUCGGAAUAACUCAGGGAAACUUGAGCUAAUACCGGAUACGUGCGAGAGCAGAAAGGUUUAUCUGCCGAAGGAUCGGCCGCGUCUGAUUAGCUAGUUGGUGAGGUUAUGGCUCACCAAGGCGACGAUCAGUAGCUGGUCUGAGAGGAUGAUCAGCCACACUGGGACUGAGACACGGCCCAGACUCCUACGGGAGGCAGCAGUGGGGAAUGUUGGACAAUGGGGGCAACCCUGAUCCAGCCAUGCCGCGUGAGUGAUGACGGCCUUAGGGUUGUAAAGCUCUUUUCUCCGGGACGAUAAUGACGGUACCGGAGGAAUAAGCCCCGGCUAACUUCGUG
rnacentral:rRNA from 1 species